CGGUCUCUCUCUCUCUCUCUCUCUCUCUCUCUAUAUAUAUAUAUAUAUAUAGGUGUAUUAUCUGCAUCUGGCAGAUUAAGGGUUUCAGAUCCAAACAUUUCUGAGCAAACCAAGACGAUGAAGCAAAAGGUGGUCGUCAGAUUCGGCACGAAGAGCAGCAAGUCUCGCUCCAAAGCCCUCACCAUUGCCGUCGGCGUUCAAGGGGUGACAUCGGCGACGCUGAAGGGGCAGAACAAGGACGAGAUGGAGGUGGUGGGAGAAGGGAUGGACUCGGUGGUGCUGACGACCCUGCUGAGGAAGGGCGUCGGCUCCGCAGAACUGGUGAGCGUCGCACCGGCUGAGGAGAAGAAGAAGGAGGAGACGCCGGUAGUAGUCAGCUCGCCUUAUUACUACACCUAUGGCCCGCCUUAUAAUUACUACACAAAUUGGGUCCUGCCAUGAGCAUUUCCUUCUUGCUGUGGCCACUCCAUCAUGAUCAGCAAAAGAAAAGAAAAUGGUUGUAUUUUAAAGAAGUAGAAGGUGAUAUGCUAAAUUCGAUGCAAGAUAAGUAAAACAGAAGAGAGAAUUAAAGCCACAAUAAAGAAGAGAAGAGAGAGAAUUAUCAAGAGAAUCAAAAUAAACUUUGUUAUAAUAGGAUUAAGAAUAUAAAUUUUAAUAUUAUUCUGAUUCAAAUCUUAUAAUAUUUAUAAUUAUCUAACUAUAAUAGAAACAAAUCAAAAUAAUAAGACGACAGAAUAAAUCCUAAUCUUUUGACUAGUUACAUGGAGGCUACGUACGACCAGAACAAAGAAGAAAACAAGAACACUUUGUGGGUGACAAUAUUGAAUU